rnacentral:rRNA from 1 species
CGCCAGCCUGACGGAGCCAGACCGCGUGGGGGAGGAAGGCCCUUGGAUUGUAAACCCCUUUUCUCAGGGAAGAAGUUCUGACGGUACCUGAGGAAUCAGCCUCGGCUAACUCCGUGCCAGCAGCCGCGGUAAUACGGAGGAGGCAAGCGUUAUCCGGAAUUAUUGGGCGUAAAGCGUCCGCAGGUGGCAAUUCAAGUCUGCUGUCAAAGCUCGGAGCUCAACUCCGACCCGGCAGUGGAAACUGGGGAGCUAGAGGGCGGCAGGGGCAGAAGGAAUUCCCGGUGUAGCGGUGAAAUGCGUAGAUAUCGGGAAGAACACCAGAGGCGAAAGCGUUCUGCUGGGCCGCGCCUGACCCUGAGGGACGAAAGCCAGGGGAGCG